CACCACUAAAUUGCCUAGUAACUUGGUAAACUUGAUUGAAAAACAAAAACUUCUACCUAAACUUGUCAUUCAGCACCUAAUUACAUCAAAAUACAGUUACCAACUUAGUUCAAAACAAACUAAAGCACAAAAUGUUCAUUUGAGUAACCAAAUGAAACAAUGCAGUUUCGGUUUGCUGUUAAAGCACGAUCCCUGCAUGGCCACCU
rnacentral:lncRNA from 1 species